CCGCAUCCGGCACCGCCGCGCUGCCAGACCCCGCUCUGCACCCAGAUCCUGCUGGAAGGGCCCCAAAUCCUGCUGAAACAACCCCAAAUCGUGCUGAAACAACCCCAAACCCUCCUGCCUGCACAGCCCCAGCCGCCCUGGGCCGUGGGGAAGGGAAGGGGAGGUUGGGAAGCCGAGCCCAGCUGGAUUCCUGCUGCCACCUCAUUUGUCACCUUGAUACUCUACUCUCUCCUCCUGCUGGCCCUUUACACCAUGCUCAGCAGGAAAAUUGCCCAGCAUUCCUGCAGGAUGCAGGUGAGCAGCAGCCCUGCGGAGCAUCGCAGCGCUCACCCAGCUGCGGCACCGGGAGGGGACACGGCG
rnacentral:lncRNA from 1 species